AGUCGGACGGUAGCACAGAAGAGCUUGCUCUUCGGGUGACGAGUGGCGGACGGGUGAGUAAUGUCUGGGAAACUGCCCGAUGGAGGGGGAUAACUACUGGAAACGGUAGCUAAUACCGCAUAACGUCGCAAGACCAAAGUGGGGGACCUUCGGGCCUCACACCAUCGGAUGUGCCCAGAUGGGAUUAGCUAGUAGGUGGGGUAACGGCUCACCUAGGCGACGAUCCCUAGCUGGUCUGAGAGGAUGACCAGCCACACUGGAACUGAGACACGGUCCAGACUCCUACGGGAGGCAGCAGUGGGGAAUAUUGCACAAUGGGCGCAAGCCUGAUGCAGCCAUGCCGCGUGUAUGAAGAAGGCCUUCGGGUUGUAAAGUACUUUCAGCGGGGAGGAAGGCGGUAAGGUUAAUAACCUUGCCGAUUGACGUUACCCGCAGAAGAAGCACCGGCUAACUCCGUGCCAGCAGCCGCGGUAAUACGGAGGGUGCAAGCGUUAAUCGGAAUUACUGGGCGUAAAGCGCACGCAGGCGGUCUGUUAAGUCAGAUGUGAAAUCCCCGGGCUUAACCUGGGAACUGCAUUUGAAACUGGCAGGCUUGAGUCUCGUAGAGGGGGGUAGAAUUCCAGGUGUAGCGGUGAAAUGCGUAGAGAUCUGGAGGAAUACCGGUGGCGAAGGCGGCCCCCUGGACGAAGACUGACGCUCAGGUGCGAAAGCGUGGGGAGCAAACAGGAUUAGAUACCUGAGUAGUCCAA
rnacentral:rRNA from 1 species